AUGAAAUCAUCCACCGCUACCAGCACAAGCAACGCAAAGCAGCAAACACGACUACAACUCCGCGUGACCAAGGUGACUACAGCAGGUCCUCAACGUGGCAACGGAGCCAGCGCCGACGAUAUCGCAGCAGCGGCGAUGUUGCGACCCAGACAAGCACAACAUCAUCGAGGCGGCGGCACUGCCAUAGUAUUGCAUCCCUCGCCACGCAGCAGCGCCGUCGUCAGUGGCUCCAUUGACGCUUCAUUGCAGCGCCCCGUCCUCGGCUUGUCGCGUCGUUGGCAGCAACGCUCGCUUCAUUGCAUCACUGGUGGCGAGUGUCGCCUUCCUCGACUUGCCGCGCCGCCCGCAGCAGCACCUGCUCCAUUGCAAUGCCGCCGGCAUCAAUGCUCGCUUCAUUGCAGCACCGGUGGCGAGCGUCGCCGUCCUCGACUUGCCACGCCGCCGGCAGUAGCGCCCGCUCUUCAUUGCAGCCCUGACGGAGCUCCAUUGCAGCUCCGGCCGCCGUGGUGCCGGGCUCCAUCGCAGCCCAGGCAGAGCUUCAUUGCAGCUCCGGGUGCCGUGGUGCCGGGCUCCAUUGUAGCCUCGGCCGCCAACGCCCACAGUAUCCCGUCGUCAGCCGACGCCCAUACUCUCAUCUCUGCAGGCUCGCAGCAGAGGCACUGA
rnacentral:rRNA from 1 species